CAGAGGCUGCUUGAGCAAUGCUGUGGGUCGGUUUGGCGCUGCGUUGCGUGGGCUUUUCCCGUUGGUUGUUUCAAGCGACGAGGAAAGAGGGCGUAGAGCGAAAGACGCAGGAGGAGAAGGGUGGGAGCGAAAGACGUAGCGGCGAAGGCGGGGUCUUUAAUAGGGGACUUAGGGCGGGCGAGCUAAAGGGGGACUUAGGAGGGGCGGCUUGGUUGGGCAACUGGGCUAGAGAGGCACAAAAAAAAGGUUAAGUUAAGUUAAGUUAAGCAGGCGGCGGCUAAGAGGAGACAAGCAGCAGAGACUGCCGCGCCGCCGCCGCCGCCAACCAACUGGAACAGCGGCGAUCCCAAGCCCGAGCCCCUGCUACCGGUCGGUGCCCCGACGUGGCCGGCGACCUAGGCUGAGGUGCGCGCAGCUCCAGUCGCCGUGUCCGGUCUGUUUGGUCGGACGAAUAGGCGGAAAUCAAAGACCCCUAGUAAGUACCAGGAGAUGCUGACCGCGUCGUCGUCGUCCAAGCACCUUGAUAGGUCACCGGUUAGUUUCAGUUCUGCGUCAUAUGAUACUAGGUGUUUCCCUACAUAGCCAAAGUCCUCUAUUAGUUUUACACCGUUCGUCACGCGGAGGACGACAUGUCAGCUGAUACCCGAACUGUUUACGCUCAGUAAGAGUACACGGAAUGAGUUCAAGUGAAGUCGUACCGAUGUUAGGACGUCUUAUACGUUUGAUAAUGAUAUUGAUGGGUGUUCGUUGUUUAUCAACAAGACACGUCGUUCCUCCUCGUUUGGUUGUAAGUCUGACGCGGUCCUAUACGUUGGUGGUUGAUAAUAAUAGUCUGACUGUGAGCAUUGCUACCUUCGAGUCCUUUGUUAAUACGGGUCAGUAUGGUCUUGAUGGGUAGGAGGCUAUGGUUACGUCGGGUUUCAAGGUCAUGUCACGGACGGUUAAGAAAGAGUAUAGUCGUUGUCAUGUUGGUCACCGGUAUAAUAAUGUUAGUGAGACACGGUUGAGGACGACCGUUAGGUCAACGACCCUCGUCGUUGUAUCUAUUAUGUCAGCAAUUGUGGUGAAGACCAAUGAGAAUAGGAUCAUGCCUCGGUGGAGGCGGCCCAUGAUGCGGUACCUUUUCAUUAAGUUCGCGAAGACAACGUGGAGGACAUGUCCGAGGUUCGCAAGGUCUUGGAGUUUUAGUUAUGCAGGUUGUUCGCGUUGAUUGAGGUCCCAAGGUUUUGGUCAUACGGAUAGUCCGUGGUCCACAGGGUUACAGAGUCUUGAUAAUGCGGUUGGUCCGUGGUCGUAUGGGUGUUUUGUUAUACUUACACUUAGUUCAUGGAAACUUGUUGGUACCACUAGUUGUCUUCUCACCAAGAAACUGCUGUCCAUAAAAGUCAUCGCUUUUGUUUUGUGUCUAAGGUUGGUAAGGAGCUUAACGAGGUCCAAAGAGAUACCAUUAAGGUUUCUCACUCUUCUUUUGACAUCCACGACUAAACCGUUUCUUUGGACGGAUACAAUCACAAAGACACGGGUUCUUGCUACAGUUUCGUCAAGUUGUACCAAGUCUGCGAUUUAGGGAGGGAAAAAGCGACGCAUUAAUACGGUGCUCCUUAGAAUCGGCAACGUUCCUACUCCGGGUCUCCCGACGAACGGUUUCAUACUAUGUUGUCUAGUGUUCGUUUCGAUAAUCGUUACCUUGGGAGGAAUGAUUCUUGACCCUGUGACUUGGCGAGUAAGGAAACGGUCUCUUAGAAAACUGGUACUGGCUUUGUUCGUCACGUUCGUUAAGUUCAAGGAACGGUUUGAGAUGGGGAUCUUCUGCAAACUUUUCAUCCACCCUCGGACAAGGCCUCCUUUUCCAAUGACUUUUCCACCUCGGUGAUCGUUUUGGUAACUACUUACCCUUGUGGGUGUUAUUAAAUUUUCGGGUUUUGUCCUACCCACUAUCAACCUUAAAUCCCUUCAGAGAGGUCAGAGGUGUACGUGGAAGUUUGUUUUAGUGGGUGGCCGAAAGUUUCUUCGUUUUCUACCCAUCAAUAAGUUCACACCAUGUUUUACCUCUGUUAAGUUCACUAUCACUGUUCCUCUUCCUAGACUGGUUUAUAAUGCGGUUACGUAGACGUAAUCGUUUAAGUGGUCUCCUUUUCUUUGCGUCCCUCGUGUCUAGAUUCGCAAAACUCUUCUCAUUCCUAAGUAGUAGUUUUAGUUCUUUAAGACGUCACUUAUUUCCACGGCACCGAGUAUAUGUAUGUUCUUCUGGAUAAAGUCGAGAACAAUGACCUUCAAUAUUUCUACCGUCGUCGAACCGACAGCUCCUAUACCUAACCCUACGUGACUGUCAGUUCCCUUGUACAGUCCUUUAACUCUUUGCUAUAGAUGCGGAGUGUAGUCGCGGACUAGGAAGGUGCCAUUCUGGUCUUGUACAGAACCUCUUCCGCGAAAGGUACCAACUUUGUAGAGUUUUCUUAAUAGAAAUGUUCACACUAGUUGACUUUAGAUAAGCGGUUCUAGAAUGCCAAGUCUCCUAGGUCUUACUUGACUGACACUUCCAAAUACUUUGAGUACGCGCAAAUCGUAACGUUCGACCACUAGAUCGACUUAAAUUGGUCACGGUCAGUGUUGACUUCUCCGAUAUAUCUCUCCCUUUGUUACCAACAAUAAAACUUAAGAGACGGAUGUUAAACGAGACGCAGUACGAUGUGAGAUUAUUGUUUGCUCUGGACGACAGUAGUUACCGUUCGAAUAGUUUUCUUCGGUUUGUUCUACCUCGACAGUUCGUACGGGAACGUCAAGUACGACGACAAAGUAGACCGUUAAUACACUAUAAAAAGUUUAAUAUGUUCGUCCCCGGGUUGAACUUGAGAACGGAGUACCUAGAUAUACACCUCUCCUACGCAAAGCUCCGAUAUUUUACAUACAGAUCUAGUAUAGCGGGGUGUCAUGGACACCCCAUACAACGUGUCCAAAACCCUAAGAACGGCUUACCCCUACUGUCUAGCCUUCUUACACUUUAUACCAAUUUUCGUGUACCACGACAAGAAAGUCACCUAUUGCCACCUCUUAACGUCUAUCUGUGUUUCCGAAGAAGAUCAUGCGAAAAGUACGGCCUCGGUCUCUUACGUCAACGUGUACCACUACGCAGUGAACGUCAAUUGCUGAAGAAACGUGCAUGUAGCAUCUUCCACAUGUGAGUAGCCGCACAACCACGUAUACCUCCUACGUAACGUGCACGAGCCUACUCUUAUGCGACAAUACACGCUGCCCUUGUACUUUACCUAGUCGAGUUCUUCGGGUUCUCACGAAGAAACGGAUCUUCCAACCUCGUUCCUAUCUUUCGGUGUGCCCUGAUACCCGUACACGUGAGCUACCGACGUCAACGUGUCGAGGCCACUCGACGGCGCUCCGUUUAAGCCUCAUAACUGGUUGUGAUCGCUGCCGAUGGACGACUGUCGGUGUAAAUAGACAGCCCGGCGAGAGACUCGCUUUACAAUGUCUUUGGAGUAUAAACAAACAUUUUCAAAAUCUCGAUGAUAUUAAAACACAAACAUAGUCCGUUAAAUAUGUGAUCUACAUCCCCUUUUCUAUCUUUGUUCUUAAGCCUUUAAAUAAACAUUUUGUCUGUGUCGGUCAGGAGAAUUAAAUACUUUUGUAGAGAAGGAAAACGG
rnacentral:rRNA from 1 species